UGAAGUGAAUGAAGGAGAAAAUGGCGCAUUAGUGGUACACUGAAAAUACGGACGCGGCGGGGAAACCCGCACUUUCCCGCAGAACCGGAGCGGCUGGACUCCCGGCGGAGACUCGGGGAAGAGAGAGAGAGCGGGACCGGUUCUGAUCCGGAGCAGCAGAUGAGUAGUUCUGGGACCAGCAUGCAGCAGCACCCUGGUCUUCAGGAUUCCUAACUUCAGUCAUGUGACCCUUUUGCUUUGACCAUCCCACAGUCUUCUAACAUGAACGGAAACUGAUUAAAUUGAUGGUAAUAUUUGUAUAUUUUACUGAUUUUCACUUUGGAAUAGGUUAUAAUAAAGUGAUUUGUAAAUCACUGUAAAUAACAGAUUACUUUAAACUUUAGUUGUAAACAUACUUCCUGUCUUUACUCAGUGUAAUUGCCUAGUAUGUUGUUUCUAUUGUUAUAUUGUGUUCACUGAGUUUUCAAUAAAGUCAUUUUAAAUAUAAAA